rnacentral:rRNA from 1 species
UACAUAGGGUGCAAGCGUUAAUCGGAAUUACUGGGCGUAAAGCGUGCGCAGGCGGUUUUGUAAGUCUGUCGUGAAAGCCCCGGGCUCAACCUGGGAAUUGCGAUGGAGACUGCAAGGCUUGAAUCUGGCAGAGGGGGGUAGAAUUCCACGUGUAGCAGUGAAAUGCGUAGAGUUGUGGAGGAACACCGAUGGCGAAGGCAGCCCCCUGGGUCAAGAUUGACGCUCAUGCACGAAAGCGUGGGGAGCAAACAGG